AACACAACUCUUACAAAAGUUGUUGGGUUCGGAGGGGUACAUAGGAUGGUGAUUUUCAAUUUCACCUUGACCUUGACUUUCAAGGUCAUUUGAAGGUCAAAUCCAAUUUUAAAUAGAAACCCCUGUUUUUGACCCCACAUUCGGAAAAAGCGCAAAAUUUUACGUUUAGAUGGGUACUUAAGGUUCUUCUUUGGAAUGACCUUAAGAGGUUAUUUCAAGGACAAAAUAUUUGAAAUUACGCAUCUGAAUACAUAUCUUGUCGGGGAGUCACCAUUCCAAACAACCCUUACAAAAGUUAUUGGGUUCGGAGGAGGACAUUGGAUGGUGACCUUCAAUUUCACCUUGACUUUGACCUUCAAGGUCAAGGCACAGCACAAAGAACCACAGUUUUGUAAUGAGAACAGGCUCCGGCACGUUCUUCACAAUUACAUUAAUUUUUUUGGUGCUAAUAACGUUUAGGAAAAAAAUUCAAUGUAUGAGAACUUGUGUAUCAAAUUCACAGUGAUGAACCCAUUUUUACAAAAUUUAAACGUCUAUAUAAAUUCAAAUCUUCGU